rnacentral:ribozyme from 14 species
AAAGAAGAACAAGAACAAGAAGAACAAGAAGAACAAGAAGAAGAAGAGCUCAUAAACAUCCAUCAAUUAGCUUGCUUUUACCCUCAUUUUUUCUCUUU